UUGAGUACGUAUAUGCACGGGUCUGACUAGAACCAGACCCGUGCGUACGUACUCAAA
rnacentral:precursor_RNA from 1 species